UGUGAGCUCGAUGAGUAGGGCGGGACACGUGGUAUCCUGUCUGAAUAUGGGGGGACCAUCCUCCAAGGCUAAAUACUCCUGACUGACCGAUAGUGAACCAGUACCGUGAGGGAAAGGCGAAAAGAACCCCGGCGAGGGGAGUGAAAAAGAACCUGAAACCGUGUACGUACAAGCAGUGGGAGCACGCUUAGGCGUGUGACUGCGUACCUUUUGUAUAAUGGGUCAGCGACUUAUAUUCUGUAGCAAGGUUAACCGAAUAGGGGAGCCGAAGGGAAACCGAGUCUUAACUGGGCGUUAAGUUGCAGGGUAUAGACCCGAAACCCGGUGAUCUAGCCAUGGGCAGGUUGAAGGUUGGGUAACACUAACUGGAGGACCGAACCGACUAAUGUUGAAAAAUUAGCGGAUGACUUGUGGCUGGGGGUGAAAGGCCAAUCAAACCGGGAGAUAGCUGGUUCUCCCCGAAAGCUAUUUAGGUAGCGCCUCGUGAAUUCAUCUCCGGGGGUAGAGCACUGUUUCGGCAAGGGGGUCAUCCCGACUUACCAACCCGAUGCAAACUGCGAAUACCGGAGAAUGUUAUCACGGGAGACACACGGCGGGUGCUAACGUCCGUCGUGAAGAGGGAAACAACCCAGACCGCCAGCUAAGGUCCCAAAGUCAUGGUUAAGUGGGAAACGAUGUGGGAAGGCCCAGACAGCCAGGAUGUUGGCUUAGAAGCAGCCAUCAUUUAAAGAAAGCGUAAUAGCUCACUGGUCGAGUCGGCCUGCGCGGAAGAUGUAACGGGGCUAAACCAUGCACCGAAGCUGCGGCAGCGACGCUUAUGCGUUGUUGGGUAGGGGAGCGUUCUGUAAGCCUGUGAAGGUGUGCUGUGAGGCAUGCUGGAGGUAUCAGAAGUGCGAAUGCUGACAUAAGUAACGAUAAAGCGGGUGAAAAGCCCGCUCGCCGGAAGACCAAGGGUUCCUGUCCAACGUUAAUCGGGGCAGGGUGAGUCGACCCCUAAGGCGAGGCCGAAAGGCGUAGUCGAUGGGAAACAGGUUAAUAUUCCUGUACUUGGUGUUACUGCGAAGGGGGGACGGAGAAGGCUAUGUUGGCCGGGCGACGGUUGUCCCGGUUUAAGCGUGUAGGCUGGUUUUCCAGGCAAAUCCGGAAAAUCAAGGCUGAGGCGUGAUGACGAGGCACUACGGUGCUGAAG
rnacentral:rRNA from 1 species